rnacentral:piRNA from 1 species
GUGGAUGCAGCACCUGUUGCAAGUGGAUC